rnacentral:misc_RNA from 1 species
AGAGAACUUUAUUAUUAUUCAAUACUGUUUGGUCAUAUGACAAAAACUUCAACUUGCAAUCUGCAAUUGCUUCAUGCUCUCGAAUGGAAAAAAGAAAAUAAUAAUAUGUCCUAUUUCCUUCAAAAUCACAAGCACAAAAUAUGAAAGCCUGACUUCAGUCGUUGAAGUGAAUUUCUAGUUAGAACUUGGAAGAUCAGGUUCUGAGAAGAAGCCAUUGACUGAUGGCAUGAUCUGAGGAGGCCUCUUGCGGACAAACUUCCUUAAGCUAUGUUCUGCAUAUUUCUCACCCUCAGCAAAGUUGUCCAGCACUCCUGCAGCCCUGUUCUCUUUGGUCACCCUGACUUCUGGGUUGGUGCAGAUAUUCCUAACAAGCUGCAUCCCACAAAUGCCAACAGCUACCCCAACAGCUGCAAAGAGCGGAAAAACCUCAGGCCUGAUCCAUCUUGAAGUAGCCAUUGUAGAGAAGAGAGCAGACCAAACAAGAAAAAAAGAAACCCCCUUCUCCAAGAAAAGAAGACGUUGAAAGAGAAGGGAAAUAAAGCAAGAAACAAGAAAAAGAAAGAGAGGUUGAAUUGAAUGAGAAUGACGACAAGAUAGGCUAAUAUGAAGGGAUUUGAUUUUGAUACAAAGUCCUUAAAUUUAGAGAAAAUACAAAAUAUUAAAAAGGAAAAAGAAGGAAGGAAAAGGUCCGCAUUCAGCAAUGACCAGCUGCAGCCAACCAUCAAUGGUCUGCCUGUUUCCAGUUUGUUGCAGGAAUCAAUGCUCGUUUUUUCAAUAACCA